rnacentral:lncRNA from 1 species
AGCUGGCUAGCUCUAAGAUCGCCGAUUCACCUGGCUGCGUCGAUAGAACUAUGGAAGCAGUACGAGAGACGGAUCAAGAAUUUUUAAUUUAUGAGUUCUGGAUGUUGGAAUAAAUCCGACUAUAAAACUGUAACCUUCAUAUCGAAUUAUUUGGAACAAUAACAUAAGCGGAAGCGUACCUGAAUCCAUAGGUGGAAGCUCCUUGAUCCGGCUUGGAAAUC